GCCAAUGGUGAAUUAAUCCAAAAUGUAUGAGAUACUGUGUAUCCAAGUCCUUGUUUUUACAGGGAGAACCACUUGGUGAAGCUGUAUUUCACAUGAUAUUACUGGAUUUAUCUGAGGU